UAGACACAUAAAUUUUGAAGGUCUAGCUACCAUAUUAUUACCCACAAGGGUAAAGGAACAGUACCACUGCUGGAUAAUUGGAAAGUCCCUGUGUGUCAACCUCUGUGCUUCGUGGCAAGGUAGACUAGCAAACAUACCCAACCUUUACUCACAUUCGAGAAAACACUCCCAAUAAGAUUGCUUGCUCCAAAAUCGAAGAGGCACCGUAUUCCGAAUCUCGAGAGCCAGACUCCCAACAUGACUACUUUCUCAAAAUCGAAGAGAGGGUAAAGGAACAGUACCAUUGCUGGAUAAUUGGAAAGUCCCUGUGUGUCAACCUCUGUGCUUCGUGGCAAGGUAGACUAGCAAACAUGCCCAACCUUUACUCACAUUCGAGAAAACACUCCCAACAAGAUUGCUUGCUCCAAAAUCGAAGAGGCACCGCCCUCCGAAUCUCGAGAGCCAGACUCCCAACAUGAUUACUUUCUAAAAAAUCGAAGAGACACUGCUCCCCGAAUCUCGAGAGCCAGACCCCCAGCAUGAUUGCUUUCUCAAAAAUCGAAGAGGCAUCGUUCUCCGAAUCAAUCGAAGAGGCGCUCGCUUUCUCAAAAGCUAGGCUGCUCAGAGACCACGAGGGCCGAUCUCAAAAAUCGAAGAGGCACCUACUUUUCCAGCCUUGUCAGCACCUGUCACACGCAUUCUCAGCUUUGCGGAAAUUAUAGGCAUUCUGUCGAAGACUUCUGGUGAAGUAGAAAGCACAUGAAUCUUACUGUUCAAUCACCCACUUCCCACACGCAAUAAUAGCUCAUGGGUACCACAGAUAACUUUGCCAAAGUUCUCUGCCAAAGUUGAGCAUGUGAAGCUUGCAGCUCCCACUACAUCGAUCUGACCAAGAAAGGUAAAAGAAUAGCAAAGAAACAGCACUAACAAAGUUUAGACACAUAAAUUUUGAAGGUUUAGCCACCAUAUUAUUACCCACAACGGUAAAGGAACAGUACCACUGCUGGAUAAUUGGAAAGUCCCUGUGUGUCAACCUCUGUGCUUCGUGGCAAGGUAGACUAGCAAACAUGCCCAACCUUUACUCACAUUCGAGAAAACACUCCCAACAAGAUUGCUUGCUCCAAAAUUGAAGAGGCACCGUCCUCCGAAUCUCGAGAGCCAGACUCCCAACAUGACUACUUUCUCAAAAUCGAAGAG
rnacentral:lncRNA from 1 species